AAGAAAGACAUAGAGGUUAUGGGGUUGGCUUGAAACCAGCUACUGGGGGUUCGAUUCCUUCCUUUCUU
rnacentral:tRNA from 1 species